rnacentral:tRNA from 1 species
CACUAUGAAGCUAGUAGCGCUAACCUUUUAAGUUAGAGACAGAAGCCCCACACUUCCAUAGUGA